GGAUAGCUCAGUCAGCAGAGCAUAAGACUCUUAAUGUCAGAGUCAUGGGUUCAACCCCCAUGUUGGGCA